rnacentral:rRNA from 1 species
AUUGAACGCUGGCGGCAGGCCUAACACAUGCAAGUCGAGUGGAGCGGCGGACGGGUGAGUAAUGCCUAGGAAUCUGCCUGGUCGUGGGGGAUAACGUCCGGAAACGGUCGCUAAUCCCGCCUACUAUCAGAUUAUCCUAGGUCUGUUUAGCUAGUUGGUGGGGUAAAGGCCUACCAAGGCGACGCUCCGUAACUGGUCUGAGAGGAUGAUCAGUCACACUGGAACUGAGACACGGUCAAGACUCCUACGGGAGGCAGCAGUGGGGAAUAUUGGACAAUGGGCGAAAGCAUGAACCAGCCAUGCCGCGUGUGUGAAGAAGGUCGUCGGAUUGUAAAGCACUUUAAGUUGGGAGGCGGUACCAACAGAAUAAGCACCGGCUAACUUCGUGCCAGCAGCCGCGGUAAUUC